GACGAAGGGCGCAAGCGUUGUCCGGAUUUAUUGGGCGUAAAGAGCUCGUAGGCGGCUUGUUGCGUCGGCUGUGAAAACCCGCGGCUUAACUGUGGGCUUGCAGCCGAUACGGGCGGGCUGGAGUUCGGUAGGGGAGACUGGAAUUCUUGGUGUAGCGGUGAAAUGCGUAGAUAUCAAGAGGAACACCUGCGGCGAGGGCGGGUUGCUGGGCUGACACUGACGCUGAGGCGCGAAAGCUAGGGGAGCGAACGGG
rnacentral:rRNA from 1 species